GAUUGCAGGCUGCAACCCGCCUGCAUGAAGUUGGAAUCGCUAGUAAUCGCGGAUCAGCAUGCCGCGGUGAAUACGUUCCCGGGCCUUGUACACACCGCCCGUCACACCAUGAGAGUCGGGAACACCCGAAGUCCGUAGUCUGACCGCAAGGGGACGCGGCCGAAGGUGGGAUUGAUGACUGGGGUGAAGUCGUAACAAGGUACC
rnacentral:rRNA from 1 species